rnacentral:rRNA from 1 species
UACGUAGGGUGCGAGCGUUGUCCGGAAUUACUGGGCGUAAAGAGCUCGUAGGUGGUUUGUCGCGUUGUCCGUGAAAACUCACAGCUCAACUGUGGGCGUGCGGGCGAUACGGGCAGACUGGAGUACUGCAGGGGAGACUGGAAUUCCUGGUGUAGCGGUGGAAUGCGCAGAUAUCGGGAGGAACACCGGUGGCGAAGGCGGGUCUCUGGGCAGUAACUGACGCUGAGGGGCGAAAGCGUGGGGAGCGAACAGG